GCCAGACUCCUACGGGAGGCAGCAGUGGGGAAUAUUGGACAAUGGGGGGAACCCUGAUCCAGCGACGCCGCGUGAGUGAAGAAGUAUUUCGGUAUGUAAAGCUCUAUCAGCAGGGAAGAAAGAAAUGACGGUACCUGACUAAGAAGCCCCGGCUAACUACGUGCCAGCAGCCGCGGUAAUACGUAGGGGGCGAGCGUUAUCCGGAUUCACUGGGUGUAAAGGGAGCGUAGACGGCCAUGCAAGCCAGGGGUGAAAGCCCGGGGCCCAACCCCGGGACUGCCCUUGGAACUGCAUGGCUGGAGUGCGGGAGGGGCAGGCGGAAUUCCUGGUGUAGCGGUGAAAUGCGUAGAUAUCAGGAGGAACACCGGCGGCGAAGGCGGCCUGCUGGACCGCGACUGACGUUGAGGCUCGAAAGCGUGGGGAGCGAACAGGAUUAGAUACCCCCGUA
rnacentral:rRNA from 1 species